rnacentral:rRNA from 1 species
UACGAACUGUGCGAACGUUAUUCGGAAUCACUGGGCUUACAGGGUGCGUAGGCGGCUUGUUAAGUAGGGUGUGAAAGCCCCCGGCUCAACCGGGGAAUUGCGCCCUAAACUGGCGAGCUGGAGUGAGAUAGGGGUGUGUGGAACUUCCGGUGGAGCGGUGAAAUGUGUUGAUAUCGGAAGGAACGCCGGGUGGCGAAAGCGACACACUGGAUCUUGUCAGACGCUGAGGCACGAAAGCCAGGGGAGCGAACGGG